rnacentral:rRNA from 1 species
GAUGAACGCUGGCGGCGUGCUUAACACAUGCAAGUCGAACGAAGCACUUUAUUUGAUUUCCUUCGGGACUGAUUAUUUUGUGACUGAGUGGCGGACGGGUGAGUAACGCGUGGGUAACCUGCCUUGUACAGGGGGAUAACAGUUGGAAACGGCUGCUAAUACCGCAUAAGCGCACAGCAUCGCAUGAUGCAGUGUGAAAAACUCCGGUGGUAUAAGAUGGACCCGCGUUGGAUUAGCUAGUUGGUGAGGUAACGGCCCACCAAGGCGACGAUCCAUAGCCGACCUGAGAGGGUGACCGGCCACAUUGGGACUGAGACACGGCCCAAACUCCUACGGGAGGCAGCAGUGGGGAAUAUUGCACAAUGGGCGAAAGCCUGAUGCAGCGACGCCGCGUGAGCGAAGAAGUAUUUCGGUAUGUAAAGCUCUAUCAGCAGGGAAGAUAAUGACGGUACCUGAAGAAGAAGCACCGGCUAAAUACGUG